rnacentral:rRNA from 1 species
CCAGCAGCNCCGGUAAUACGGAGGGUGCAAGCGUUAAUCGGAAUUACUGGGGCGUAAAGCGCACGCAGGCGGUCUGUCAAGUCGGAUGUGAAAUCCCCGGGCCCUUUUUGGGAACUGCAUUCGAAACUGGCAGGCUAGAGUCUUGUUUAGGGGGGUAGAAUUCCAGGUGUAGCGGUGAAAUGCGUAGAGAUCUGGAGGAAUACCGGUGGCGAAGGCGGCCCCCUGGACAAAGACUGACGCUCAGGUGCGAAAGCGUGGGGAGCAAACAGGAUUAAUUACCCUGGUA